rnacentral:lncRNA from 1 species
GGGUUUAAAUAUAAAGGAUGGAUGGGGACUAUGAGAUUGUGGUGGGAUAUUAAAAAAUAAAUAAGACUCGUUUAAUUUAUGGAAAAGAUUUUUUCUUUCAGAAAGUAACUUCUUAAAAAAUUAAUUUUUGAAAAGUUAUUUUUUGAAAAUAGAAUUCUGACAUGUUUGGUUGAUCAUGAGAAAAUAACUUAUUAUUGGGGUAAACCGACC